ensembl:snoRNA
UGGAUUUAUGAUGACUACUGGUGGCGUAUGAGUCACAUACGAUGAAUACGUCUGAUGUCUGAGGUCCAU